rnacentral:tRNA from 1 species
GGAGAGGUGUCCGAGCGGUUUAUGGAGCUGGUCUUGAAAACCAGUGACUCGAAUAGAGCCAAGGGUUCGAAUCCCUUCCUCUCCGCCA